rnacentral:tRNA from 2 species
CCGCCAGUGCUGGAAUUGGUAGACAGGCUGGUUUGAGGGACCAGUGGCCGUAAGGCCGUGAAGGUUCAAGUCCUUUCUGGCGGACCA